rnacentral:rRNA from 1 species
UACGUAGGGGGCUAGCGUUGUCCGGAAUCACUGGGCGUAAAGCGAGUGUAGGCGGUGUGGUAAGUCGGAUGUGAAAGCCCCGGGCUCAACCCGGGAAGUGCACUCGAUACUGCCACGCUAGAGUAUCGGAGAGGUUGGUGGAAUUCUCGGUGUAGAGGUGAAAUUCGUAGAUAUCGAGAGGAACACCGGUGGCGAAGGCGGCCAACUGGACGAAUACUGACGCUGAGACUCGAAAGCGUGGGGAGCAAACAGG